AGGAUGAAAGUGUAGUUCUAUCGGAGGAGAUAUGCGCUAUUUCUACUUGAUCGUACUGAUGGUACUGAUGUACAAUGAAGCAAGAUGUGAUACAGGUUGGCAGCCUACUCCGAAUAAAGACAAUCCAUUUCCAUACAAUCUAGACAGGUUCCCUAUGCAGAUACGGACGACGACAGCUACUCAAAAUGUUUGGAUACAAGGCAACGUUGACCAGUCUUCCUCACCCGUAGAUUCUUAUGCUGGAAUACUUUUCAGCUUAGCUUGGCAAAUGAGUGACAACAGUAUCUGGCUGGCGUACCACAACCUAGACUAUGGCGAGGAAUUCUUCAACCCAACACCAACCUGUUCAGCCCGGGGAGGAGACUGGACCUUGUUCAAGUUGAAGAGGAAGAUGGUCCUAAGAUGUGGCAAUGAAGAUGUCUACGAAAUCCUUUACAAAGACCUUUACGACAGCAAACUUGAACCUUUCUUGCAGAGGAGCGUUAAGGCGUUAAGCAAAACAGUCACAAACAUAUGGUUUGACCAUGAGCAUGCGGACAACGCAGAGUAUAAAAGGGCAGACUACUGCUACAAAGGUUACAAGAUGGCAUAUGACGGUGGAUGUGACGAAUGCCCAGAAAACACCUACAAUACCAGGCUUGACAAUACUGUCCAACCUUGUACUUCCUGUCCUGACAAUAUGAUAUCUCCUCCUGGAUCUUCUUCAGUUGAUGAUUGCAAGGAAAAAGGAUACAAGAUACCAAUAAUGGCAGUGCUAGUGAAUAAUCAGCGAGAGAAUCACAAACCAGGAUAUAUGUUCGAUGAUAAUACGGCAACAUACUAUCAUCAUAAAUAUAAUAAAAUCCCAGGGGUCAAGGUUUAUUUCGGCUAUGAAGUUGAAGUAUCCAGGGUAAAGAUAACCAACCGACUCGACUAUGCGAAUUACCUCCCAAAUUUGAAAAGCACAGCUGUUUCCGUGAUGCUGAAGGACGGUGGAGUUGACGAAUGCGGAACCCUAGGAGACGACAACACUAUCGAGUACAAGACCUUCACCGUAUUAUGUGGCAACAAAAGGGGGAUAGGACUAGUGGUAGAGAGACCAAGCAGUGUUAAUGGCUGGUGUAUUUCAGAGCUGGAGAUAUAUCACUAUACUGGAAUGCAGGACGUCUGCGAAGCACCCACGUAUUACAACCAACUCACGAAUGCAUGUGAAUCACCACCAGCGUGUAACUCGGGGGAUCGGGAGGUAUUUAACAUUAACAACGGGGCCUGUGAGAAGUGUCCUAAGAAGUCAGUGUUUGUCGAAGGAGCAUGCAUCAAGAUAAGUAAGUUACUCGGCUGGAGGUGGGGAGACGUUUUUGAUUAUUAUUUCAGGUUGAAUUUCUCAGCUACAUGUUUACGUAAAGCAGUUCGAACAAUAAAAUGACAAUAACAAUGACCGACCAUUUGAAUUUUAAGUAAACAAAUCGAGACUUUGUUUGCUUAAAAGUUAUUACAGUACACUUCAGCUCACUCCGUAAAGAAUAAAUUAAUAACCCGUCCCUCAGGCAUCAAAGAUGUUUAGAUCCAUUUCAAAGUCAAACUUCAAUGAGAAUCCAAACCUUAUUCAUUAUUAGAAGAUUUUCCAGAAAUUAACAGGCCAAUUUCCAUAACUUAAGUUAUUUCAUCUAAUGAUUGUUAAUGACGUACCUGAUACUGCUUGGAUCGGCCGAGGGACCAGACACAGGACUCGUCCAACAGCUGGAUAAUGCUCUGACACUGCUCUGUUUGUUGGAGAAUCUGGACUAUCAUUCUCAAUGUGCUGCCUGGGAAUAGAGUGUUACACAAUGAAUGUGCUCCUGAUUAUGUAUAGAUCUUGAUAUUAUGUGCAGUAGGUUAUUCGAAGAGCUGAAAUCUGACGACAGCUGCAAGCAACAAUGAUUUCAGAAUUCAGCAUCAGGAUGAUGAGAAGGUCAGGAAUGUGGACACUUUUUUAGUUAAUAUUAGUUCCGGGGUUUUUAGUUAAUAUUAGUUCUGGGGUUUUUAUGUUUGCUUUCUGGUGUGCCUUCCAUAUCAGCAUUGAGUUAAAUUGGAUGAGUGGGCAUUUUAAUAACUAGUGAGCAGUGACAGUGAAUUAAGUUAAGGCAAAGCUAUUCUCAGCUGUAUUGUAUCUAAUAGUUAAUUUUCUUUUUCGCUGAUGAAGUGGAAUUUUAAGAACCAUUCAAGGGAGAAUCAGUGAACUCUAGACGCAAGUUACUGGUAAUUUGGAAUUACAAAUAAUGUGAAAUUUAUUAUAACUAAUUAUUCAUCGCGUUUUUA